rnacentral:rRNA from 1 species
GGGUUGUGAGGUUAAGCGACUAAGCGUACACGGUGGAUGCCCUGGCAGUCAGAGGCGAUGAAGGGCGUGCUAAUCUGCGAUAAGCGCCGGUAAGGUGAUAUGAACCGUUAUAACCGGCGAUACCCGAAUGGGGAAACCCAGUGUGACUCGUCACACUAUCAUUAACUGAAUCCAUAGGUUAAUGAGGCGAACCGGGGGAACUGAAACAUCUA